AUGUCCUCUUUUCUGCUUUUUCCUGACUGCAGGUGCCACCAUGUUUGCAGCCCCAUCAAAGGAUACUUGGACAGUACAAACUGCUACAGAAACAAACACUCUAGGUACUGCACUGUCUCAUGGAGGCUAUCCAGGGAAAGCUGAAAGGCUAAACCUCAUGCAAAAUUUGGUCUCUUGAAACCUUCACUGAUUUAUGGCCACGGAUCUAUGGAGAAGGGGACAAAUCCUGCUCUUUGGUAGAGGAGAUUUUAAAAAGGCAGAAGGAAACUCAUCAUUCGGUUUCCCGUGUCAGCAGUAAAAUUCCUCAUGGCACUUCGUCCCAAUAUCUACAUCCACCGUUUGGGAUUUCUGCUAAAAAAUAUCUAGUGCUGGAAUAAUAAUUUCUAUGUAGGACCCCAAAACCGUAAAAUAUGCUACGUGUUUAUUACUAAGAUCUUUGUGUCGCAUCAGCUUCAGAGGGCAAAAUCCUUCUUUGGAAGUCAUGGCAUUCAGGUGAGAAGGUGCAGCUAAGUCUGACUCAACGAUUCCUCAGCUUCAGAUCAUAGAGGUAUUACAGCAAGUUCAUACUUAGGUCCCCCAUUCAAACUGAAGCUCUCACCCGUCUUAUGAAAGAUCUCCUUGAGAUGCGCACUGGACAUCUAAGGACAAGAAAGCUUCUUACAGAUUUUCUGAUGCUUUAUGGAAACAGCUGGGAUGAAGACUUUUCACUCUAUGCAAAGAGUGUCUGAUACCUCCAUAGUAUGCUCAUGCCUAAAGACGAAGAGCAAGAGGAAUGUACUGUAACUCAAAUGGUACUAUUCUUAGGGGGAAAACAUAUCAGUAUCAACAAAGGAAAAAUGCCCUUCAGGCACCACAUCCAAGGCAUUGUCUGUUUCACUUCACAGAAAGAACAAGAAGUUCAUCUAAAAAAUAAAUAGAAACCACAAGAGAAAAAAGUCCCUACAUUUUACCUUAGCCUCUUGUUGCUGGCAAAAAACAAGCUGUGGAAAUUCCAAAUCUUGUUUCUAAAAAAAAAAAGAAAGCAUUAUUUUAGUGAUGCUGGACCUAAAAGUGAAACUGUUGAAUAGCCAUUAAAUCCACGUAUUUAGAGUGCCAAGUACUGUACUGUAAGUCAAACUUUAUUAGUUUGGGUUUCUGAGCUUCUAUUGUCUUCAUACUGACAUAUGUAGAAAAAGAAGUUUCCCUUUUGAAACAUUCUCCUGUGUAUUCUGAGAGCCAAAUUCAAAUACGAGCCUUGGUGUAUUCAACAUCUCCUUGGGAAUUUUGAAGUGAGAUCUCCAAUCUUUUAUUUUGAGACAAAUACAGAGACAUGUCAAAGUUGUUUGUUCUCACUGGAACUAUAGCUUUUCAGACAAAACUCAUUAAAAAUGGUCAGAGUUAAAAAAUAAAGUCUGAUUUGGAUCAAAGUGCAGAUACUGGUUAGCACCUGGGAUAUGGCAAGAUAAAGUCAGCUAAAACAUUUAACAUGGAAUAUGAGCAAGUUACUUAAUUCCCCCCAUACUCUACAUGAAACUCCAAUACCACUAAAUAUCGUCGUGCACCUCAUUGUGGCCAGCAUUUCACAUGAUCAGAUUAAGUUAAUCAAGAGAUGAGUGGAGAACUUUCUGACCAAGCUUUGCUACUACUCACCAGCAGC